UUUCGGUUAUCGAUGGGGAUGCGUUCCAUUAGUUUGUUGGCGGGGUAACGGCCCACCAAGACUACGAUGGAUAGGGGUUCUGAGAGGAAGGUCCCCCACAUUGGAACUGAGACACGGUCCAAACUCCUACGGGAGGCAGCAGUGAGGAAUAUUGGUCAAUGGGCGAGAGCCUGAACCAGCCAAGUAGCGUGAAGGAUGAAGGCUCUAUGGGUCGUAAACUUCUUUUAUAUGGGAAUAAAGUUUUCCACGUGUGGAAUUUUGUAUGUACCAUAUGAAUAAGGAUCGGCUAACUCCGUGCCAGCAGCCGCGGUAAUACGGAGGAUCCGAGCGUUAUCCGGAUUUAUUGGGUUUAAAGGGAGCGUAGGUGGAUUGUUAAGUCAGUUGUGAAAGUUUGCGGCUCAACCGUAAAAUUGCAGUUGAAACUGGCAGUCUUGAGUACAGUAGAGGUGGGCGGAAUUCGUGGUGUAGCGGUGAAAUGCUUAGAUAUCACGAAGAACUCCGAUUGCGAAGGCAGCUCACUAGACUGUCACUGACACUGAUGCUCGAAAGUGUGGGUAUCAAACAGGAUUAGAUACCCUGGUAGUCCACACAGUAAACGAUGAAUACUCGCUGUUUGCGAUAUACAGUAAGCGGCCAAGCGAAAGCAUUAAGUAUUCCACCUGGGGAGUACGCCGGCAACGGUGAAACUCAAAGGAAUUGACGGGGGCCCGCACAAGCGGAGGAACAUGUGGUUUAAUUCGAUGAUACGCGAGGAACCUUACCCGGGCUUAAAUUGCAACAGAAUAUAUUGGAAACAGUAUAGCCGUAAGGCUGUUGUGAAGGUGCUGCAUGGUUGUCGUCAGCUCGUGCCGUGAGGUGUCGGCUUAAGUGCCAUAACGAGCGCAACCCUUAUCUUUAGUUACUAACAGGUCAUGCUGAGGACUCUAGAGAGACUGCCGUCGUAAGAUGUGAGGAAGGUGGGGAUGACGUCAAAUCAGCACGGCCCUUACGUCCGGGGCUACACACGUGUUACAAUGGGGGGUACAGAAGGCAGCUACCUGGCGACAGGAUGCUAAUCCCAAA
rnacentral:rRNA from 1 species